UACGAAGGGGGCUAGCGUUGCUCGGAAUGACUGGGCGUAAAGGGCUCGUAGGUGGCCAACUAAGUCAGACGUGAAAUCCCUCGGCUUAACCGGGGAACUGCGUCUGAUACUGGAUGGCUUGAGUUUGGGAGAGGGACGCGGAAUUCCAGGUGUAGCGGUGAAAUGCGUAGAUAUCUGGAGGAACACCGGUGGCGAAGGCGGCGUCCUGGACCAACACUGACGCUGAGGAGCGAAAGCCAGGGGAGCAAACGGG
rnacentral:rRNA from 1 species